rnacentral:misc_RNA from 1 species
AGAUUUAAGAAUAAAAAGAAGAAAGAAAAGAGGAGAGAAAAAUAAAAUUUGCUACUUUAAGACGUUCUUUUGUAGUUUUGUGGAAUCUUUUUAGGACUAUUCCAUCUCUAAUGCAGUUUAAGUCUACAUCUGUAUCAAAGAGAGCAAUAGUGAGUUUGAAAUCAUUUGAAAUUUUCAAAGUAAUUUUGAUCAAAUAAUUUUGAGAAGCAACUUGUUUUCAAAUAAAGAGGAAGUCAUCUAGAAUUUUUGGGACAUCUUCAAGUUUGGCUAUCUAAGGGGUUUCAUCAUCUUCUCUUGAGCAAUAUUUGUAAAACUCUAAUAGCAUUCCUUUACUUGUUAAGCCAUAGCUUUAAAUCCAUAUUCCCAUGAAAGAACCCAUUGAACAAAGAACUUUGAAACAAAAAGGAUCAUUGGAUGAAAU